AGCGGAGGAAAGGAAACCAACAGGGAUUGCCUCAGUAACGGCGAGUGAAGCGGCAAAAGCUCAAAUUUGAAAUCCCCCGGGAAUUGUAAUUUGAAGAGAUUUGGGUCCGGCCGGCGGGGGUUAAGUCCACUGGAAAGUGGCGCCACAGAGGGUGACAGCCCCGUGAACCCCUUCAAAGCCCUCAUCCCAGAUCUCCAAGAGUCGAGUUGUUUGGGAAUGCAGCUCUAAGUGGGUGGUAAAUUCCAUCUAAAGCUAAAUACCGGCGAGAGACCGAUAGCGAACAAGUACAGUGAUGGAAAGAUGAAAAGCACUUUGAAAAGAGAGUGAAAAAGUACGUGAAAUUGUUGAAAGGGAAGGGCUUGCAAGCAGACACUUAACUGGGCCAGCAUCGGGGCGGCGGGAAACAAAACCACCGGGGAAUGUACCUUUCGAGGAUUAUAACCCCGGGUCCUCUACU
rnacentral:rRNA from 1 species